GAUGAACGCUGGCGGCGUGCCUAAUACAUGCAAGUCGAACGAGUUCUCGUUGAUGAUCGGUGCUUGCACCGAGAUUCAACAUGGAACGAGUGGCGGACGGGUGAGUAACACGUGGGUAACCUGCCCUUAAGUGGGGGAUAACAUUUGGAAACAGAUGCUAAUACCGCAUAGAUCCAAGAACCGCAUGGUUCUUGGCUGAAAGAUGGCGUAAGCUAUCGCUUUUGGAUGGACCCGCGGCGUAUUAGCUAGUUGGUGAGGUAAUGGCUCACCAAGGCGAUGAUACGUAGCCGAACUGAGAGGUUGAUCGGCCACAUUGGGACUGAGACACGGCCCAAACUCCUACGGGAGGCAGCAGUAGGGAAUCUUCCACAAUGGACGCAAGUCUGAUGGAGCAACGCCGCGUGAGUGAAGAAGGCUUUCGGGUCGUAAAACUCUGUUGUUGGAGAAGAAUGGUCGGCAGAGUAACUGUUGUCGGCGUGACGGUAUCCAACCAGAAAGCCACGGCUAACUACGUGCCAGCAGCCGCGGUAAUACGUAGGUGGCAAGCGUUAUCCGGGAUUUAUUGGGCGUAAAGCGAGCCCAGGCGGUUUUUUAAGUCUGAUGUGAAAGCCCUUGGGUUUAACCGAGGAAGCGCAUCGGAAACUGGGAAACUUGAGUGCAGAAGAGGACAGUGGAACUACCAUGUGUUAGCGGUGAAAUGCGUAGAUAUAUGGAAGAACACCAGUGGCGGAGGCGGCUGUCUGGUCUGUAACUGACGCUGAGGCUCGAAAGCAUGGGUAGCGAACAGGAUUAGAUACCCUGGUAGUCCAUGCCGUAAACGAUGAAUGCUAGGUGUUGGAGGGUUUCCGCCCUUCAGUGCCGCAGCUAACGCAUUAAGCAUUCCGCCUGGGGAGUACGACCGCAAGGUUGAAACUCAAAGGAAUUGACGGGGGCCCGCACAAGCGGUGGAGCAUGUGGUUUAAUUCGAAGCAACGCGAAGAACCUUACCAGGUCUUGACAUCUUUUGAUCACCUGAGAGAUCAGGUUUCCCCUUCGGGGGCAAAAUGACAGGUGGUGCAUGGUUGUCGUCAGCUCGUGUCGUGAGAUGUUGGGUUAAGUCCCGCAACGAGCGCAACCCUUAUGACUAGUUGCCAGCAUUUAGUUGGGCACUCUAGUAAGACUGCCGGUGACAAACCGGAGGAAGGUGGGGAUGACGUCAAAUCAUCAUGCCCCUUAUGACCUGGGCUACACACGUGCUACAAUGGAUGGUACAACGAGUUGCGAGACCGCGAGGUCAAGCUAAUCUCUUAAAGCCAUUCUCAGUUCGGACUGUAGGCUGCAACUCGCCUACACGAAGUCGGAAUCGCUAGUAAUCGCGGAUCAGCACGCCGCGGUGAAUACGUUCCCGGGCCUUGUACACACCGCCCGUCACACCAUGAGAGUUUGUAACACCCGAAGCCGGUGGCGUAACCCUUUUAGGGAGCGAGCCGUCUAAGGUGGGACAAAUGAUUAGGGUGAAG
rnacentral:rRNA from 1 species